rnacentral:rRNA from 1 species
AGAGUUUGAUCAUGGCUCAGAUUGAACGCUGGCGGAAUGCUUUACACAUGCAAGUCGAACGGCAGCACGGGGCAACCUGGUGGCGAGUGGCGAACGGGUGAGUAAUAUAUCGGAACGUGCCCAAUCGUGGGGGAUAACGUAGCGAAAGUUACGCUAGUACCGCAUACGAUCUACGGAUGAAAGCGGGGGAUCGCAAGACCUCGCGCGAAUGGAGCGGCCGAUGUCAGAUUAGGUAGUUGGUGGGGUAAAGGCUCACCAAGCCAACGAUCUGUAGCUGGUCUGAGAGGACGACCAGCCACACUGGAACUGAGACACGGUCCAGACUCCUACGGGAGGCAGCAGUGGGGAAUUUUGGACAAUGGGCGCAAGCCUGAUCCAGCCAUUCCGCGUGCAGGAUGAAGGCCUUCGGGUUGUAAACUGCUUUUGUACGGAACGAAACGGUCUGCCCUAAUACGGCGGGCUAAUGACGGUACCGUAAGAAUAAGCACCGGCUAACUACGUG